AUACGGAGGGUGCAAGCGUUGUUCGGAAUUACUGGGCGUAAAGAGUACGUAGGCGGCCUACUAAGUCAGAUGUGAAAGCCCAGGGCUCAACCUUGGAACUGCAUUUGAAACUGGUAGGCUAGAGUAUGGUAGAGGGGGGUAGAAUUUCUGGUGUAGCGGUGAAAUGCGUAGAUAUCAGAAGGAAUACCAGUGGCGAAGGCGGCCCCCUGGCCCAAUACUGACGCUGAGGUACGAAAGCGUGGGGAGCAAACAGGAUUAGAAACCCCAGUAGUCC
rnacentral:rRNA from 1 species